rnacentral:snRNA from 1 species
GGAUGUGAGGGCGAUCUGGCUGCGACAUCUGUCACCCCAUUGAUCGCCAGGGUUGAUUCGGCUGAUCUGGCUGGCUAGGCGGGUGUCCCCUUCCUCCCUCACCGCUCCAUGUGCGUCCCUCCCGAAGCUGCGCGCUCGGUCGAAGAGGACGACCUUCCCCGAUAGAGGAGGACCGUUCUUCGGUCAAGGGUAUACAAGUAGCUGCGCUCCCCUGCUAGAACCUCCAAACAAGCUCUCAAGGUCCAUUUGUAGGAGAACGUAGGGUAGUCAAGCUUCCAAGACUCCAAAAAAAAAAAAAAAAAAAAAAGACAAGUU